UACGUAGGGGGCGAGCGUUGUCCGGAUUCAUUGGGCGUAAAGCGCGCGUAGGCGGCCGGGCAAGUCGGCCGUGAAAUCUCCCAGCUUAACUGGGAGGGGUCGGGCGAGACUGCCCCGCUAGAGGCGGGUAGAGGGCAGUGGAAUUCCGGGUGUAGUGGUGGAAUGCGUAGAGAUCCGGAGGAACACCAGUGGCGAAGGCGGCUGCCUGGGCCUGGCCUGACGCUGAGAAGCGAAAGCAUGGGGAGCGAACAGG
rnacentral:rRNA from 1 species